rnacentral:sRNA from 1 species
UUCCUCCUUCCCAUUACCACCAAUCAAGCCUAGUAUGGCUGUGCUUGUUUUGCCUCUUCUAAGGUACAUUCAGUAAAAAAGCAUUGUAAGCUAGGACUCUGUUGGCUUUGGUUUCUUUUCUUUUUUCCCCUUUCUUUCUUUUUAUAAUCUUCUAUUCCCUCCUCCUAGGGUCAUCACACUGAAACGGUGUUCAACCGGGUUUUGCCAGGGCCUAUUGCACCAGAGAGCAGCAAGAAGCGGGCCCGUAGGAUGCGACCAGACCUUUCUAAGAUGAUGGCCCUCAUGCAGGGUGGAAGCACUGGGUCUCUAUCUCUGCAUAACACGUUCCAACACAGCAGUAGUGGCCUACAGUCUGUGUCAUCUUUGGGUCACAGCAGUGCCACUUCUGCAUCUUUGCCUUUUAUGCCAUUUGUGAUGGGUGGUGCACCAUCAUCCCCUCAUGUAGACUCCAGCACCAUGCUUCAUCACCACCACCACCACCCCCACCCCCACCAUCACCACCAUCACCAUCCAGGCUUGAGAGCCCCUGGCUACCCCUCUUCACCAGCGACUACCGCCUCUGGUACUACCUUGCGGUUGCCACCACUGCAACCUGAGGAGGAUGACGAUGAGGAUGAAGAAGAUGAUGAUGACUUAUCUCAGGGCUAUGAUAGCUCAGAAAGGGACUUCUCACUCAUUGAUGAUCCUAUGAUGCCAGCUAACUCAGACUCCAGUGAAGAUGCUGAUGACUGAAGCCCCAGCAUGGGCCCCAUUGCUUGGGCGGCUGCUGUAUUUUCAUUUACUCUGGCCCUUGGACUAUGGAAACGUGGGAGGGGCAGGGGAGAUGUGGGGAAGUCCAGGACUCCAGGAGGUGAAAAGGAAAAAAAAAAAAAAAAUGUACCUGAUUGCUCCCAAUUAUGAGAGGAUUGGGUGGGCAGGGGAACUCCUAAAAUAAUACAUGACCACUUCCUCAUUUCUGGGGAAGGAAAGGAGACUAGAGCAGCUGGUGCGCUCACCCCUCCCUAGUCACCUCCAUUAACCACAGACUAUGUAGCGCUGGCCCUAGCCUCUGGCAGAGCCUGUUCCUGGCCGAACUGUGGAUACAGCUGGAGGGUCAGGAACUGUUACCUUCCUUCCCCUUGGCAUUAAUAAAUUUAAGUUAAUCCUU